rnacentral:rRNA from 1 species
GGAUUAGAUACCCUGGUAGUCCAUGCAGUAAACGAUGGGUGCUAGAUGUUGGGAAUUUAAAUUUCCAGUAUCGCAGUUAACGCGUUAAGCACUCCGCCUGGGAAGUACGGCCGCAAGGCUAAAACUCAAAUGAAUUGACGGGGACCCGCACAAGCGGUGGAUCAUGUGGUUUAAUUCGAAGAUACGCGAAGAACCUUACCGGCCCUUGACAUACCAAUCGCGGACUUAAGAGAUUAAGUCUUUCACUUCGGGUGGAUUGGAUACAGGUGCUGCAUGGCUGUCGUCAGCUCGUGCCG